rnacentral:lncRNA from 1 species
AUGGGAAGCACCGUUGCCAGCACCAUGAGGGUCAUAAAGAGGCCCAGUCACAUUGGGAUGGAAGUCCUCAUCCUCAGGCUCAGAGUGGUGAAUGGGAGGCGUGCCUUGCUCAGCCCCAGAGUGGAGACAAAUGGGUGUGGAAUUCACCAUAAUCUAUGGCAAGAAAUGGCCCUUACCCAUGGGAUUGAGAAUAUUAAUGCCAGGAAGAGGUCAGACAUUGAUAUUGAAGAGCAGACCUGUGUUGGAAUGAAUGCAGUUCUAGGGCGAGACUGGUGAAUGAAGAAGGGUAAGUAUGAAUGAGGGCUGACUAGAGCAUGACAGAGAAGAAGGUCAAAAGUACCACAUGUUAAGCUGAAGCCAAGGUUUUUGGGUUUUUUUUUCUCUUUUUUUGGCCAUCCCCAUGGCAUAUGGAGUUCCUGGGCCAGGGACCAGAUCUCAGCCAGAGCUGCUGGACCCUUAACCCACUUAACUCAUUGUGCCAGGCCAGGGAUUGAACCUGAGUGCUAGGGCUCCAGAGACACUUCUGAUCCUGCUGCACCAUAGCAGGAACUCCUGAAGCCAAGAGUCUAAUGAAAGAUUAAGGUGUUCUAAUAAAAGACAGCAAGUGCUCA